AUUCCACAUAUGCAAGAUAGUCCUCAUGCUUACAAGAUACUGGAGUCUGAAAGGAUAUGGAUGACAGCAAUCCUGGAAGCCACAUGUUAACAACAGCAGUCUGGGUCCCUUAAUGACCUAGUGGAGCAGAGCUGCCCCUGACUCGGAACCUUCACUUUGGACAGAUGACUGGGCUAAAUAUAACUACUUGUUGUUCAUAUUGUAUUGUCA
rnacentral:lncRNA from 1 species